rnacentral:rRNA from 1 species
AGAGAGAGACAUGCGCGCAUAUCAAUAAGCGGAGGAAAAGAAACUAACAAGGAUUCCCUUAGUAACGGCGAGUGAAGCGGGAAGAGCUCAAAUUUGAAAUCUUCAAGGUUUUACCUUGACGAAUUGUAGUUUAAAGAAGUGUUUUUCUGCUGAAGUUUUUGGUAAAAGUUCUUUGGAAUAGGACAUCAUAGAGGGUGAGAAUCCCGUAUUUGACCAUUAUUUUCAGCUUUGUGAUACACUUUCAAAGAGUCGGAUUGUUUGGGAAUGCAGUCCAAAAUGGGUGGUAAAUUUCAUCUAAAGCUAAAUAUUGGCGAGAGACCGAUAGCGAACAAGUACCGUGAGGGAAAGAUGAAAAGAACUUUGAAAAGAGAGUUAAACAGUACGUGAAAUUGUCAAAAGGGAAGCGUUUUGACACCAGUGUUGUUUUCUCGAAAAUCAAUUAAAAAUGGCUCGAUUUUGUAUUGUUGAGACCUUAAAAGCUCACUGUACAUUUUUUCGUGUCUUUUUUAAUGCACUUUUCGUUUAACAAGUCAACAUCAGUUUUCUUUUGUUGUAAAAGGGUCAUUGGAAGGUGGCUUUCUUUUCGGAGAAAGUGUUUAUAGCCUUUGGCCUCUGCAAUCGGAGAGACUGAGGUCUGCAGCGUAGACUCUUCGGGGUUAGAUACAUUUGUGCUAAGUUAUAGCUUUUUAUAGACAACUUGUUGACUAUAAUUAGUCUUGUAGCUUACUCGCUUAUGCUAUUUUACCUACGCUUAGGAUGUUGAGUCGUAGAGCACGCAG